UACAAACAGGGUCCAGUUUCGUCAUUUAACAUUUCCAAGUGGAGACUCUUGAAAGACUCUUGGGCUUUUUCCAAAUGGAAAAAUUUAAUGAUUUAACGAUAGUAACAACAACAACAAUAGCAAAAUGCCCACGGGAAUUGAGAGCGAAUUUGAAUAUUUUCAGUCUAAACGAUGGCUUUUCACAAAGACUUUCUGUACAUUACAACUUGGCAUAGAUUUAAAUACCACAACCUCAGUGACCUCACAAUUGAGUUAUCAAAGCUACUAUAACUACUUGGAUUUGGAAUCCAGGCCUUAGCAAGGAUCUCUACCCAUCUGUUCUUACUUAGAGACAGUCUGCCUUUGAGCUCUGCUGGUGACCAAAACCUAAAUUGUAGCAGACAAAACACAGUCUUUUAUCAUGAAACAACAUAAACCAGAGCAGAAAUUUAAGGUUCUUCUCUUUUGAAAACUCAGAAUGUCUUUCAAAUAUCUUACCCAUGUGUAACACAUUCUGGAAAUUUUAACCCAAUUUCAUAAUGAGUGUAGACUUGAGAACAGACAUAGUUUAAAGACCAGACAUACUUAUAAGUUAAUUAGAUCUAUGCCUCUCAGGGAUAUAGCAGUGUUCUUAUUCUACAUAUACAUGAAGAAUUUAUAUUUUCACACCAGUAGGAAGUAUACCUACAUUAAGCCUUGGCAACAUGGCCAAACUCAUCUCUACAAAAUAUCAAAAAUUAGCCGGGCAUGAUGGCUCAUACUUGUAUUCCCAGCUACUCAGCAGGCUGAGGUGAAAGGAUCUCUUGAGCCAGGGGAGGUUGAGGCUGCAGAAAGCCGUGAUUGUACCACUGCACUUCAACUUGGGUGACAGAGUGAGACCCUGUCUCAGAAGAAGAAGAAAGAGGAAAGAAGAAAGAAGGAAGAAGAAGAAAAGAAGUAUACCUGCAUAUUAUAUAGAACAAGCUGCAGUGAGGACCUGAUAGUCAAAAUUACUUGGAGGAAAAUCACAGCUCUUCUCCCCUAGAAAGUCUGCUGAGUCUCACCAGGAGAAUCUCACAGGGAGGCUGCCACGAAUUCUCUCUGCAAGGACUGUGAAACUCAGAAUUGCUGAUGGAAUUUUGUGCAUCUGUCCUGUUGGAGAGAGGAAUUUUUCACUGGAGAAAGCUCAAGCAUGAAGGCUGAAUGGUGGAAGAAGUAGGCUCUGAUGGACAUUACAGUUUAUCCCUCCAGAUCCACUUUCCUUCCCCAGGCCACGCUCCAUCCUGCUCUGUGCUUCACCAAGUUGGCCUGUAUGGGCUAUGCUGGUGGCUUCUUUGCAUUCUGUCCUUUGGUUGGGCCUAGCCAAUGAGAGGCACUGGUAAGGGAUGAGAGGGUGGAGAAGAAUGAGGUUGCAUUAUAUAUUCUCUAAGCUCAUUCUCUGGUGGCCUGCCACGAAUUGGCCACCUCACUCCACCAAAAGUAGUUCUUUCUGUCAGGUAGCCCUUUCUAUGAAACUACUCUCUUUGAGUUCAAGCAACUUCUUCCUCCUCUUACACUUUAGAUCAAGGGGUGGUAACAGCUCCUAGCCCUUGCUAGCCUGAGAUUGCUGUACAAAUUUACUGGUUUUCUUGAUGUCUGCCUACACAUUAUUAAACUCUUCUCAUUAUCCAA
rnacentral:lncRNA from 1 species